rnacentral:lncRNA from 10 species
GCAAGCUCCGGGAAGAGACCUUGAGAAGAAUGGAAAGAAAAACACCAGGAAAAACACAAAUGCUGUGUGAUGAGUCACUGUGUUGACUGAGAUCUCAUGACAAACUGCACAAAGACAUAGCAGGAAUUAACAUUUGUAUCCUUUCCAUGGAAUACUCGUUAAGAAUACAUCAAACGCAUGCGGUACAAAUGAAUACUUCGAGGACAGCCUGAUGAUUACAUGACACCUGGAGAUUUCCAUGGGGACCUGUGUGGCUUGCCGUUCCAGUUCUGUCCUCUCCGGGGCUUGGGAAGGUUCCACCCAGCUGGACCCCGCCCACGGGCCCACCUGGUGCCAUGCAUGGAGAGGUGAACACGGCUCCCAAGGCCAAGCAUGACAGAACUGGGCAGAAAGAGACUCGGACCAUUUUUCAGGAGCGAUGACCAUCUGCGGACAAGGCCAACCAGCCUUCCUGUCCUAAGAGUCCCAUUUGUCCAAUAAAACUACUUAAAUAAAAGCACCACCCCUCUCCAUGGCCCCCCGCCAGAAACUACAGGAAGGG